AUACUUACCUAGCAGGAGGAAUACCAUGAUCAAGAAGGUGGUUUCCCCAGGGUGAGGUUCUUCCAUUCCACACUUCAGUUAGGUUGAACUCUGUGAUUUCCCCAAAUGUGAGAAACUCAACUGCAUAAUUUAUGGUAAUGGAGGACUGCAUUUUUUUU